UACGUAGGGGGCAAGCGUUGUCCGGAUUUACUGGGCGUAAAGCGCCUGUAGGCGGCCUGUCAAGUCCGGCCUGAAAGCCCCCCGCUCAACGGGGGAGGGUGGCUGGAAACUGGCAGGCUUGAGGGCGAGAGAGGAGGGUGGAAUUCCUGGUGUAGCGGUGAAAUGCGUAGAGAUCAGGAGGAACACCAGUGGCGAAGGCGGCUUUCUGGACGGUAACUGACGCUGAGACGCGAAGGCGUGGGGAGCAAACAGG
rnacentral:rRNA from 1 species